AAUAUACUCUCUCCAUCCCAAAUUACUUGUCGUGGAAAUUGGAUGUACCUAGAUGUAUUUUUAGUUCUAGAUACAUUCAUUUCUAGCGACAAGUAAUUCGGGAAGAAGGGAGUAGAAA
rnacentral:pre_miRNA from 1 species